CUCCAGGAAGCAGCUCCCCUGUCCUCCCGUGCAAUGCUGUGUGGAGCGUUGCCAUGGUAACGCGCGGCAACGCUCCACACAGCAUCGCGCGGGAGGACAGGGAAGCUGCUUCCUGGAG
rnacentral:miRNA from 1 species